CUCUGGCGGUAAAAUCUACACUUGUAAUCGGGGGACAAAAACGAGGAUUAGAUACCCUCUUAUUCUCCUGGCCAAGGUAGUAACUAGCUAUGUUCUUCAAACCUAAAGGAUUUGGCGGUGCUCUAUCCUAUCAGAGGAAUCUGCUGUCGAAAUUACGCGUUAAAUCUUACCACAGCGCUUGUAUACCGUCGUCUAGAUAAAAUCAGUAGGUUUUAUCACACCUAUGGCAGAUCAAGGUGCAGCCUGCUAUGGGGUUACAAUCCCAACAAAGUUGGAUUUGAAAGUAAGGAUUAUUACGCCAGUGAACAGGCAAUUGAGCAUGCACAUAUCGCCCGUCACUCUCA
rnacentral:rRNA from 1 species